rnacentral:rRNA from 1 species
UAGCAAUAGGUUGAUGGCGACCGGCGCACGGGUGAGUAACACGUAUCCAACCUACCGGUUAUUCUGGGAUAGCCUUUCGAAAGAAAGAUUAAUACCGGAUAGUAUAACGAGAAGGCAUCUUUUUGUUAUUAAAGAAUUUCGAUAAUCGAUGGGGAUGCGUUCCAUUAGUUUGUUGGCGGGGUAACGGCCCACCAAGACAUCGAUGGAUAGGGGUUCUGAGAGGAAGGUCCCCCACAUUGGAACUGAGACACGGUCCAGACUCCUACGGGAGGCAGCAGUGAGGAAUAUUGGUCAAUGGACGAGAGUCUGAACCAGCCAAGUAGCGUGAAGGAUGACUGCCCUAUGGGUUGUAAACUUCUUUUAUAUGGGAAUAAAGUGAGCCACGUGUGGCUUUUUGUAUGUACCAUACGAAUAAGGAUCGGCUAACUCCGUGCCAGCAGCCGCGGUAAUACGGAGGAUCCGAGCGUUAUCCGGAUUUAUUGGGUUUAAAGGGAGCGUAGGCGGACUAUUAAGUCAGCUGUGAAAGUUUGCGGCUCAACCGUAAAAUUGCAGUUGAUACUGGUCGUCUUGAGUGCAGUAGAGGUAGGCGGAAUUCGUGGUGUAGCGGUGAAAUGCUUAGAUAUCACGAAGAACUCCGAUUGCGAAGGCAGCUUACUGGACUGUAACUGACGCUGAUGCUCGAAAGUGUGGGUAUCAAACAGGAUUAGAUACCCUGGUAGUCCACACAGUAAACGAUGAAUACUCGCUGUUUGCGAUAUACAGCAAGCGGCCAAGCGAAAGCAUUAAGUAUUCCACCUGGGGAGUAC